rnacentral:rRNA from 1 species
ACUGCUCAGUAACACGUGGCUAAUCUGCCCUUGGGACCGGAACACCCCCGGGAAACUGGGGCUAAUUCUCGAUAGGUGAAGAACUCUGGAAUGAGUCUUUGCUAAAAAGACGUUUACGUUAUGCUCGUAGGCGUCGCCCAAGGAUGAGGCCGCGACCGAUCAGGUUGUUGGUGAGGUAAUGGCUCACCAAGCCUUUUACCGGUGCGGGCCGUGAGAGCGGGAGCCCGGAGAUGGGCACUGAGACAAGGGCCCAGGCCCUACGGGGCGCAGCAGUCGCGAAAACUUUGCAAUACACGAAAGUGUGACAGGGCUAUCCCGAGUGCCAUCCGCUGAGGAAGGCUUUUACCCAGUCUAGAACGCUGGGGGAAUAAGGAGAGGGCAAGUCUGGUGUCAGCCGCCGCGGUAAUACCAGCUCUCCGAGUGGUGUGGAUGUUUAUUGGGCCUAAAGCAUCCGUAGCUGGCUAAGUUAGUCCCUUGUUAAAUCCACCGAAUUAAUCGUUGGAUUGCGGGGGAUACUGCUUGGCUAGGGGACGAGAGAGGCAGACGGUAUUUCCGGGGUAGGGGUGAAAUCCUAUAAUCCCGGGAAGACCACCAGUGGCGAAGGCUGUCUGCUAGAACGCGCCCGACGGUGAGGGAUGAAAGCUGGGGGAGCGAACCGGAUUAGAUACCCGGGUAGUCCCAGCUGUAAACGAUGCAGGCUAGGUGUUUGGACGGCCACGUGCCGUUCUAGUGCCGCAGGGAAGCUGUUAAGCCUGCCGCCUGGGGAGUACGAUCGCAAGAUUGAAACUUAAAGGAAUUGGCGGGGGAGCAC